rnacentral:lncRNA from 1 species
AUGCAGUAUCAUCUCCAUCCUCAGAAGAUGAAGGCUGCCAUAGGUCCAGGAGAGACAUCUAAACUCGUCAAUGCGCGAAGGAAGAAAAUAGACCAACUCUUUUUAUAUUUCUCUCCUCAAGACUCAUUAGCUGGGAUUAGCUCACGUGACAAUGCCUGGAUCAAUCACUGGCAAGAGGAUGAUGGGAUUACCGUGACCGGCUUUGACCAAUGACCCAUGAGAAUAUGGAUGUCAGAUAGUCAACCACUACGCCCUUUAAAACUAUGAUAGAUGAUAGAUGAUAGAUAGAUAGAUAGAUAGAUAGAUAGAUAGAUAGAUGAUAGAUGGAUAGAUAGAUAGAUAGAUUAGAUAGAUGAUGGAUAAAUAGAUUAGAUAGAUAGAUUAAUGAUAGAUACAUAGAUAGAUACUUGGAUACAUAGAUACAUGGAUAAAUAGACAUGCUAAUAGUAAGCAAUCAUUGAAAGUUAGCUGUGUCAAGUAUUGUACUAAAUUCUUUACAUAUGUUGCCUCAUUUAAUCCCCACCAUGGUCCAAAAACACAAACUAUAUUUUUUAUCCCCAUUUUACUGAUGCAGUAAGUACUGCGUGAUCAAACUCAGAGAAGUCGAAUAAUUUGUUCAAGUUUACUCCACUAGUAAGUAGAUAAGAUUUCAUCACGUUUAAUUCCAAAACUUAUUAACUUAAAACUAUGUCACACUGCUUUCCCUGACCGCCACCAGUAGGUUUUCUUUUUUUUUUUUUUUUGAGGAAGAUUAGCCCUGAGGUAACAUCUGCCACCAAUCUUCCUCUUUUUGCUGAGGAAUAUCAUCCCUGAGCUAACAUCCCUGCCCAUCUUCUUCCCCUUUGUAUGUGGGAUGCCUGCCACAGCAUGGCUUAAUAAGCAGUGCAUAUGUCUGCAUCUGGGAUCUCAACCGGCGACCCCUGGAGCCACCAAAGUGGAGCGUGCAAACUUAACUGCUAUGCCACCAGGCCAGUCCCAACAGUUUUUUUAAUAUCAAGAAUUUUUUAAAGAAACACUGUGUUUUAUAAGCAUACAUACAGAAAACACAUAUUUAUAUGAUUUUUUUUGCAAAGAUUCUCAUUUUGCAUUCUCUCUAGUUUUGUCAUAUGCAUUUACGUGCUUACUUUGUAAUCACAGAUUCCAUUUUUAGCCUCUUUUUUCUCUUAACCCUACCUUGUACCUGUUUUUAUUGUUUCUAUGGUCUUUGUAAUCACUUCUUAAUGACUAUGUAGCAUUUCAUUGAGAGACUAUACAAAGAUUAAGUAAACUUACUUAAUUAUUCUCCCACAGUUGGAGGUCAUUUCCAAUUUCGCAUCAUUUAGAUGAUGCUGCCGGUAACAGUUUCAGGCACAUCACGUACUUUCCCUUGCAUUGAAUUAUUUCUCCACCUUCCAUAUGGGUGAAGAAAAAUGCUGGGCCAACAGGUAUGAAGCAUCUUACAGUUCUGGAUACGUCCUGCCAAGUUGCCCUGCAAAAAACAUUUCACUAAUUUGCACUGCCACACACAGGCUCAAAGUCUACCGUUAAUCUAAUUAUCUAGCCAGCACUGGUUGUCUGGACGACUACCAUUUUUUAUCAUAUAAUAGGGAUAAAGUGGAGCCUUCGUAUUUUCUUCUGAUUACCAGUGAGGUUAAACAUUUUCCCGUGUAUUUAAUUCCUAUUCGUGCUUCCUCCCAUCUGAGUGAUCUGUUCAUAUUUUUCACUCAUCUGAUUUAGGGGUUUUAGAUGGUGUGCACCGAGGGUGGCCCGGGAGACAGGGUCCAUUAAGGGAGGGCUUGUGUGAAAUGAAGUGCUUCCCUUGAAGCUUGGGCCUUUUAAGGCCCAGAAACUCGUUUUGAGCACAUGGCAGUGGAGCCGUAGAUGUGAGGGCCCUUAAUGGGGCUGUUAGGGGAGAUGUUGUUACUGAGAUUUAUUUGGCUCAUUCCAGGCUGUAAAUUCAUUUAGUAGCCCAGUUUCACCACGUGCCAUAAAUAACCAGAGCUGUGUAAACAAAUGUCACCCGGACACAUGAACCAAUCGAAAUUAGACUUAAAAAAAUACUAUCAACCUGGUGCUAUUACUUGACUCCUGCAUAUGUCAUGUACCAAGGUCACCCUUGACCAGCUAAACCUGCACACACUGCACACAUACAAGAGACACAUGCGUGCACACACACAUAUACAUAUGCAUACACACAUACACAGAGACACACAUGCACACAUUGCACACACAUACAAGAGACAUAAGCAUACACAGGCACACAUACAUACACACACACAUGCACAUACACACACCAUGGUUGCCUGACAGCAAAAUGCCCCCAUAGGGUCAUUCUAACCAAGGGCAAGGGAAUGGAGAAAGACGCUGACAGAUAAAUAAUUGCUAUAAAAAAUUAACAUUUUUUUCUUAAACAAUUCUUCAGAUCUAAUAGAGUAUUUACUAGGAGGUACACAAGAAAAUAAAAAGCAGAGUCACAGAAAUAGGUGCUUGUCA